rnacentral:rRNA from 1 species
GAUGAACGCUGGCGGCGUGCCUAAUACAUGCAAGUCGAGCGAACAGACGAGGAGCUUGCUUCUCUGACGUUAGCGGCGGACGGGUGAGUAACACGUGGAUAACCUACCUAUAAGACUGGGAUAACUUCGGGAAACCGGAUCUAAUACCGGAUAAGAUAUUGAACCGCAUGGUUCAAUAGUGAAAGACGGUUUUGCUGUCACUUAUAGAUGGAUCCGCGCCGCAUUAGCUAGUUGGUAAGGUAACGGCUUACCAAGGCAACGAUGCGUAGCCGACCUGAGAGGGUGAUCAGCCACACUGGAACUGAGACACGGUCCAGACUCCUACGGGAGGCAGCAGUAGGGAAUCUUCCGCAAUGGGCGAAAGCCUGACGGAGCAACGCCGCGUGAGUGAUGAAGGUCUUCGGAUCGUAAAACUCUGUUAUUAGGGAAGAACAAAUGUGUAAGUAACUAUGCACGUCUUGACGGUACCUACUCAGAAAGCCACGGCUAACUACGUG